rnacentral:rRNA from 1 species
GAUGAGCGCUGACAGAAUGCUUAACACAUGCAAGUCUUUGGCGAAGCUGUGCUUGCACAGCCUAGCCAAGGCGGACGGGUGAGUAACGCGUAAGGAACUUGCCCUGCAGUCAGGGAUAACAGACGGAAACGACUGAUAAGACCUGGUAAAGUCAGGCGGACUCAUGUCCAGCCUGAUGAAAAGAGAUGCUGCAGGAGAGCCUUGCGUCCUAUUAGCUUGUUGGUGGGGUAACGGCCCACCAAGGCGAUGAUAGGUAGCCGGCCUGAGAGGGUGGACGGCCACAAGGGGACUGAGAUACGGCCCUUACUACUACGGGAGGCAGCAGUGGGGAAUAUUGGACAAUGGGGGCAACCCUGAUCCAGCAAUUCUGUGUGCACGAUGAAGGUUUUCGGAUUGUAAAGUGCUUUCAGCAGGGAAGAAAAAAAUGACGGUACCUGCAGAAGAAGCGACGGCUAAAUACGUG